rnacentral:sRNA from 1 species
UGUCUCAGUCGUAGAUUGCUCUGUAGCAGU